rnacentral:rRNA from 1 species
CAGUCGCCACGGUAACACGAAGGGGGCUAGCGUUGUUCGGAAUUACUGGGCGUAAAGCGCACGCAGGCGGCUCGAUAAAUUAGAAGUGAAAGCCUUGGGCUUAACCUGAGAAUUGCUUUUAAGACUGUCGAGCUAGAAUCCAGAAGAGGGUAGUGGAAUUCCGAGUGUAGAGGUGAAAUUCGUAGAUAUUCGGAAGAACACCAGUGGCGAAGGCGACUACCUGGUCUGGCAUUGACGCUCAUGUGCGAAAGCGUGGGGAGCAAACAGGAUUAGAUACCCCCGUAGUCCCUGUCUCUUAUAA